rnacentral:rRNA from 1 species
UUUGAGGGGAGAUCGUAACAAGUUUCCGUAGGGGACCUGCGGAGGAUCAUUG